rnacentral:rRNA from 1 species
GGGCCCGCACAAGCAGAGGAGCAUGUGGCUUAAUUCGAUGCAACGCGAAGAACCUUACCCGGGUUUGACAUGCAGCUGCACGGCCGAUGAAAGUCGGCCUCCUUCGAGGGUGCUGCACAGGUGCUGCAUGGCUGUCGUCAGUUCGUGCCGUGAGGUGUUUGGUUAAGUCCAGCAACGAACGCAACCCCUGUGUCCAGUUGCCAUCAGGUAACGCUGGGAACUCUGGACAGACUGCCCGUUCACACGGGAGGAAGGUGGGGACGACGUCAAGUCAGUAUGGCCCUUACACCCGGGGCCGCACACGUGCUACAAUGGCCGGCACAGAGGGAAGCGAAGCCGCGAGGCCGAGCCAACCCCCAAAACCGGCCCCAGUUCGGAUCGGGGUCUGCAACCCGACCCCGUGAAGUCGGAUUUGCUAGUAACGGCGCAUCAGCUACGGCGCCGUGAAUACGUUCCCGGGCCUU